CCUACGGGAGGCAGCAGUGGGGAAUAUUGCGCAAUGGGCGAAAGCCUGACGCAGCGACGCCGCGUGAGGGAUGAAGGUCUUCGGAUCGUAAACCUCUGUCAGCAGGGAAGAACGGUCACGGGGCUAAGCAGCAGUGAAUUGACGGUACCUGCAAAGGAAGCACCGGCUAACGCCGUGCCAGCAGCCGCGGUAAUACGGAGGGUGCGAGCGUUAAUCGGAAUGACUGGGCGUAAAGCGCUCGUAGGCGGUAGGUCAAGUCAAGGGUGAAAUCCCCGCGCGCAACGUGGGAACUGCCUUUGAACCUGGCAAACUGGAGUGUGUGCGAGGCUAGUGGAAUUCCAGGUGUCGUCG
rnacentral:rRNA from 1 species